rnacentral:rRNA from 1 species
UACGUAGGGUGCAAGCGUUGUCCGGAAUUAUUGGGCGUAAAGAGCUCGUAGGCGGUCUGUCACGUCGGCUGUGAAAACCCGAGGCUCAACCUCGGGCCUGCAGUGGGUACGGGCAGACUAGAGUGCGGUAGGGGAGAUUGGAAUUCCUGGUGUAGCGGUGAAAUGCGCAGAUAUCAGGAGGAACACCGGUGGCGAAGGCGGAUCUCUGGGCCGAUACUGACGCUGAGGUGCGAGAGCGUGGGGAGCGAACCGG